rnacentral:lncRNA from 1 species
AUGUGCCUGUACACCGGCGGCGCCCGGCGGGCCUCCGACGGCGCCUGCUCCCCUCUGGCCUCGCCCAGGAGGAGGCGCCCCGGGCUGCCCGAGGUGGUGGGCAUCGUCUUGGAGAACGCCAAGAUCAGAGCUCCCAAGAAACUGGAUUUCUUGGAGCCGUCUCUGGAUGUCCAUCCACACAUGGACAAAGAGGAGGAGGAGGAGGAGGAGGAAGAAGAAGAGGAGCCUGUGCAGCAGAUCACUGGGACUGACGUACGGAAGCAGAAGAUAGGCAACACGGGGUGUCACAAAGGAGUGGGGACCGGCGAGCCAUUAGAUAAGGUCGAGUGCGAUCGGACUGGAGUGGAGUCAUCAGACCUUGACAAGAGCAGGUCGGUGAACUCAGUCAGCAUGUGGCCCGAAUCAGGGGAAACUGCUUCUCGAAGAAAGUGGCAGCGUAUUUGCAAAGAGGCGGAUCGCAACCGUGAUGCGACGGAACGAUCGCUUGGUGACGCAGCUGCAAAUUCCCCCCGGGGAAUCAGGGUCAGCCACGACAUCAUAUUCCCAGCGAUAGUUGAGAACUCACAACACCACGCCCUCGGCUGCUGUUCACCGAAAGACUACGGCGACGCAAACCAUUUACCUCAAGUCUUUUCGGGGAGGAAGACCAGUUCUGUGAGGACAUGUUUAGGGCCGUACCGAUCCAAUAAGACCUGUGAACCAUCACCAAGCAGAAGCAGAGGAUGGUCUACGAACUACUCCGAUGCUGAGAAGGUCUGUCGAUUGGAUUCGGCCGAUCCCCGUUUAAAUAAAUAUGCCAGUCGAGGAGACCUGACGUUAAGACAUCAACUGGUACCCGGCAGCAUUCACCCAUCGUUUUGCAACACGGUCACAGGCUGGGAAGAGGACCAUGUCAUAUCCUUAGCGGCACAAGGCCUCGAUCCCAGUUCAAAUUGUCCCAAGGAGGCUCUCCGCAGAGGGAAAGGGAAGCCACUCAGUCCAUUGAAACAUCCGAAAUUGAAGCACAUCUCAAAUAAAUUACACCAGGCGAACUCUUUUGAAAUCGAGGAGGUGAGCAGCGCUGGAGAAGAGGAUUUUGGACAGUCCGAAAGUACACAAAUAACUAUAACAAAAAGUCAGUGCAAAGCGGCGAUGUUGGAGCGUGGAGACAGCAUGCAGUCAGACAGCAGCGGCUUCGCGGAGGAGGAGGUCCGCUGCUCUUCAGAGAGGGGUGGGAGCUGA